UACGGAGGGUGCAAACGUUGCUCGGAAUCAUUGGGCGUAAAGCGCACGUAGGCGGUCCGUUAAGUCGGGCGUGAAAGCCCUCGGCUCAACCGAGGAAGUGCUUUCGAAACUGGCGGACUUGAAUACUGGAGAGGAUCGCGGAAUUCCCGGUGUAGAGGUGAAAUUCGUAGAUAUCGGGAGGAACACCGGUGGCGAAGGCGGCCUUCUGGACGGAUACUGACGCUGAGACGCGAAAGCGUGGGGAGCAAACAGG
rnacentral:rRNA from 1 species